rnacentral:lncRNA from 1 species
GGGGGAUGUGGCCGAGCCACCCGCCAUCGACUUUCCAGCCGAGGGCUGGCCCGGGAUGAUGGCGCUGGCCCGGGGCCUGGAUUUAGGUAGAGGAGCAGCUUUUGCGCCGAGGGAAGGGUGUCGGAGAGUGUGUGUCAGCUCACCUCCUUUAGCCGUUGAACCGAAAAUCCACAACCGACAGAAGAUUCUCUCACCUUACGGCGGGAGUGUAAGGGAUGCCAGAGGAAUGUACUUGGAUCUGAAAGACGACCACCUGCGCCCGUCAUCUAGAACCAAGUCUCCUAGGGGCCAAGACUUAAGGAUCAGAGCUAACCAAAGAGAAUAACGGUAUUAGGUAACAGUUACUGAGAGCCUGCUGUAGAUAAGUCUUUAAUUACUGUCCCUCCAAUCCUGUAAGUUAGGUGACAUCAGCAUCUCCUUCACGAACGGAAGGCCGAGUCCCAGGAUAAAUAAUAUACUUAAAACUCCGUCGAUAGUGACAGGAUUCCCUGCGUGAACAUUAAACUGAGUUACAGAUGUUAUUUUUCGAACCGUUUACAAUACUGGAGACACUUAAUUCCCAUACUGCUGGGGGAAUGGCUAAAUUUACAAUGGAAUAUCUGUUUUUGAAAAACGAUGUCAUACGAAUAUAGAAAAUCAGCCCCCCCAGACAUUUUGGAGUGGAGACAAAAAUUCAGGGUGCAGAAAAAUAGGUAGUGGGUAAUUCUUUUACACGAAAACCCCCUCGAAACACUACUUAGGCCAGUCGCGGUGGCGCACACCUGUGAUCCCAGCGGUUAGGGAGGCUGAGGCAAGAGGGUCGCGAGUUCAAAGCCAGCCUCAGCAACAGUGAGGCGCUGAGUAACUCAGUGAGACCCUGUCUCUAAAUAAAAAUUUAAAAUAGGGCUUGUGAUGUGCCUCAGGCGUGGUUUGCCCCUGAAUUCAAUUCCCAGUACCCAAAAAUAAAAAUAAAUCACUUUUUUUUUGUAGUAGGUGCUUAUUUGAGGAAUAGAAAACGGAUGUAUGAAAAUUAACAAAAAGGAUUGCGAUAGUAUACAUUAAGCUGACAACAGUGAGUGGGGAGAAGGAAGUCAGGGAUUUAUGGGUGUUAAAGAGAAUUUAGGAAGAUUUGGGGGGGGGGAAGUAGUCAGGAAAAUGUACACAUACACUUUAAUAAAAAUUAAUUUUAAAACGACCAAAAAUGACAUUAUCAUUUGAGCACUUGCUGUUAAAAAUGGCCCUUAGGCCCCGCGCUGGAGGUAAUCUGUCUCACUCAAAGUCCACCCAUUUUGAACAUUGCCUAAUGAAUUCUUUGAAUGGA